CUAAAGAUUUUCAUAUUAUUUACUUAUCUCAUUUAUUUUUAUUUGAGUUAUUUAUGAUCCUACAAAGUAAAUAGAAGUCCCUCCUACAAAAAGCAAUAUUAAGACUAAAUCUUUUACUACCUUCGUAUUAUUUAUCCUUAUUUUUUUUAUUACAUCUUUAUAUUAGAUUCUUUUACAAUAACAUUUUUAUUUUUAUUUUUCACCAUAUAGUUAUAUUGCUACUUAACA
rnacentral:lncRNA from 1 species